ensembl:miRNA gga-mir-1713 gga-mir-1713
CUUGAAAAUACCCCUCCCGGCCCCCCGUUGCCCGCUCAAAGUCUGUGACAAGUUGGCUCGGAGAGGGAAGAACGCGGUGCUCGGGAGGGAGAUGCCAAG